rnacentral:rRNA from 1 species
CAGCCGCCACGGUAAUACAGAGGGUGCAAGCGUUAAUCGGAUUUACUGGGCGUAAAGGGCGCGUAGGUGGUUAUUUAAGUGAGAUGUGAAAGCCCCGGGCUUAACCUGGGAACUGCAUCUUAUACUGGGUAACUGGAGUGCAGUAGAGGGUAGUGGAAUUUCCGGUGUAGCGGUGAAAUGCGUAGAGAUCGGGAGGAACAUCAGUGGCGAAGGCGGCCAUCUGGGACAACACUGACGCUGAGGCACGAAAGCGUGGGGAGCAAACAGGAUUAGAGACCCCUGUAGUCCCUGUCUCUUAUAC